AAUUUCCCAAGCCCUCAAAAAUUAGCAUUCCAUCAAAUUCUAGUCUGUCAAUCUUCAAGCCAGUUGAUUGCAUUUUAGGAAUCUCCAAAAUCACAAUCCAACCAUUUAACUCAAAAGAGCUAGACUAAACAACAAAGACAUAUCCUAAAAAUCAAACAAAAUAAUAAAAUUAAUCUAGCAGUUCAUCCUAAACUGAAUGAAAUUAAAAGCUUUCAUUUCAUAAGCUAUAAGGCAUCUAUUUACAUACAUGCACAAGAACAAUAAUCCUAAAUCUAACAGCUUGAAUUUUGGUCCUUUUUCUCCCCCCGCUGAACUUUCCGCAUAAUUGCUGAGGGAAGCAAAACACAGAGGGGUACCUGUGAAGUGCAAAACCAUGCAAAUGAACAUAUUCCAAAAUCCAUUAACAGUCACAAGUAACAAUGCAGUCUUCACUAUUUCUCAAAGUAACUGGCGAAGCUCCUGGUUUUCUUUCAGAAGACGCUUAAUUUCUUUCAUCAGCUCUGCCUGAUUUUCCAGAAUUGAGCGCAUCACAGUAGAAAAUUCCAUCUCCUGCAUAUGGAAUUGUCUUAGAAUUUCGAUGUGAAGGUUCCUCAUGUCUUCAUGGAUGGAUUUCUGGAAUGAAUCAAGAGUUUCUUCAAGAGUACGUUGAAAAAGCUGGAGCGUGAAGGAAUUUCCCUGCUGUGGAUCCAGCUGAAGGGCCUUAUUUGGUUGUGAAAUUCCUCCCUAACACAAUAAAGUGAACUAAUUAGCCAUGAUAAAGUGAUGAGCAUUUUAGGCAACCAAACAUAAUUAGCUUGAGCUACAUAAGGUGAGAUCCAAGUGUGGCUUGUGCUUUCAACUCAAUGCACGGUAUUGAAGGCAUCUAUGAUGAUCAAGCAGAACAUUUUGGACUUUCCUCCCAAAAAACCUAUAACUGUUUAUUGAACCAAUUUAGUCUGCAUACAUUUACUGCUGGAAGAAUUCCUUGUUCUGUCACAGCCGAUGUGUCAGACCUUGACAACAAGCUGCUCAAAAGCUCUUCUCUGGUCUCAGCUCCUGUUUUCUUCAUUUUAGGAGAACUCAUUGAAAGGGAGUUCCCAUCAUUGAAGGAGGAAGUUGCGCUUAUUCUCUCCGCAUAAGUUGAAAAUCUACGAGGAAGGGUCGAAGGGCCUGAUCCUGGCACAUCAAGGUUGGUUUGUCCAACAAUGCUUUUUGUACUCACAGAUUGAGACAUGGAACUAGAGGAAAUGAGUUCUGAAAAUCCUGUUGAACUUUCCUGAUUUGAAGAAACAUCUCUGGGGCGCAGAUUUGAAAAACUCAUGUUUGAAUUUGUCAAAGAGCUAAUAAUUGUCUGAUUUGUUGAAGAGGGCAGAUCUUGCAAACCCCCAGAAGUCAACAUCCCAAAACGAGAAGGUAAAUUGAGUGGCUGAUGUAAGUGGGUAAGUUUGUCGGAUAAUCUCUCUCCACCCCAAGCUUCUGGAGGAGUGAUGGAGGAUUCUUCGCUUUUUGAAGAUGGAGUGGGAGUAGAUCCCGCCAACAGUGAAAAAGAAGAUCUGAUCUCAUCCUGUUUGGAAGUUGAACUGGCUUUCCAAUCGAAUAUUGGAUGAUCACUUGUCCCAUCCUCUGCAGAAGGAAAUCUUCUACCAGCUGAAGGAAACAACAAAGAUGAGGACUUCUUAUCAAUUGAUAGAUUAUCCUUUUUUGUUCCCUCAUGAUCAUCCCAGAGCUUAUCAAGUGAAGGUGUGAUAGGCUGGACAUCAACAAGUGGGGAAAAUACUUCCAUGUCAUCCUUAAAAUUAUAACUUGUACGAGGAGCAUGUAAUCUUGCCAAUGUUCCACUUGGCCACAAAUGGCUCCGAUGUGGUGUUUCCUCAGCAAAUGAAGGCAUACUUGAUGCAGAUCCACUAUUGGUUGAUGUAAGAGAUGAUGCUCCUACAGAAAGACCAGAACGGCCAAGAUUACGAGAAGUCAACACUGCAGUAGAUAGUGAAACACUUGAUGACGUCACAGAGGGAAGGGGGUCAGGCAUAAGAAUGGAAUCUUCAACAGCACCUCCCAGAAGAGCUGUCUCAGCAGUGCAGGUACUCCCAUUUACAACAACUGGCUUUGAUCUUUGCCAGCACAAACUUGUAACAGCCUCUGAAGUGCUAUAAGCACGAAGAACAGUGAAAGGCUGUGGUUUUCCACGAACAUCAUAGAACACCACUCGACCACUGCUAGUUCCAGCGGCAAGAAUCCAGCUAUCCUCUCUGAAUGCCAAUGAAGAGAAAGGUGCCUCAUAAGAUAUGAAGGAUGAGGGUCUCCGAGACCCUGAAUCAUAAGUGUAUAACUUUUUAUCCAGUCCAACACUAGCUAUUAUCUUGUCAUUUGAUGGUGAGAAGCUAAUACCAGCAGUUGGGGCAGAAUGUUGCUUCAACCAAGAAAUCUUAGGGCUGCGACCAGUUGUAUCCCAUAAAUGUACUGACCCAUCAUCCCCUGCAGUCACCAAAAGGUGCCGGCUAAUCCGUGAAUAAUCUAGCACCCGCAGUACCUGGUCUUAAAUCAAUCAGAUGAACAAUCAGCUUGGCAUCCAGAAACUCUAACCAACAAUACAAGAAUGGCAGUAAUGAAAUGCAAGAAACUAAACAACCUGUUCAUUAGGAUCCUUGAGCUCCGCUGCCCUUGCGCCAGAUGCAAGGUUGUGAAGGAUAAGAUCCCCACUUAGACUGACGGAAGCCAAAUGCUCAUCUUUGCAAUUAUAUAAAGCACCAGUUAUUGUAUUGGUGUGACCCCUCAACCAUUUAAUGCAGCGUUUCCUCUGUAGAUCCCAUAUUCUUACUACUCGACCGCUUCCCCCAGAGCACAUGUAUCUGGAUCCCUUGUUACUAAAGCUAAUAGCCAAUAUAGAUUCCUCAAUGUUGUCUCCACUAUCUGUCCCAGCAACCGGAAUAGUCCCCAUGAUCUGCCCAUUUUUCCUCCAGAGAGAGAUCUUCUUAUCUUCUCCAGCACUAGCCACAAUCAAAUUAGUGUGGUUCCACUUGACUGAGUUGACCAGGCAACCCGGACAUGGAGUGUAGCUCACGAUGCAGGGAUCACCCGGCUCCCCCGAAACAUCAAAAAGCUUCACCGUAUCGCCUCCGCUCGCCGCCAGUAGCCCCAUUGAUGGAUCAGCCAAGUUCAUCAUUUAGAAUACCCUGCAUCCAAUUUCCUUCUCCCGAGAAAAUCCAGCACCUCAACUCGAAUUCUCCCGGAAAAUUAAAUUUUAGUGAUUGCAAAUCACAUGAUACAUUGAAAUUUGAGAAACGGAAGAAUACGGGUUUUGAUUUUUAGGAAUAGAUUUACAAAGACAAAAUGAACAAACCCUAC
rnacentral:misc_RNA from 1 species